rnacentral:rRNA from 1 species
AUUGAACGCUGGCGGCAUGCUUUACACAUGCAAGUCGAACGGCAGCACAGCAGAGGUAACUCUGUGGGUGGCGAGUGGCGAACGGGUGAGUAAUACAUCGGAACGUACCCUGUUGUGGGGGAUAACUACGCGAAAGCGUAGCUAAUACCGCAUACGCCCUGAGGGGGAAAGCGGGGGGACCCUAAAUAGAGCGCACUGGGGAGUGCGUUGUAUUUAGGGCCUCGCGCAAUAGGAGCGGCCGAUGUCGGAUUAGCUAGUUGGUGAGGUAAAGGCUUACCAAGGCGACGAUCCGUAGCUGGUCUGAGAGGAUGAUCAGCCACACUGGGACUGAGACACGGCCCAGACUCCUACGGGAGGCAGCAGUGGGAAUUUUGGACAAUGGGGGCAACCCUGAUCCAGCCAUGCCGCGUGAGUGAAGAAGGCCUCGGGUUGUAAGACUCUUUCGGUACGGAAGAAAUACGCGCAGGU